AAGUUCCCUGGAACAAUAGUCAGCGUGCAAGGAGAUGCCCCAAGUCCGGGUGCACCAGGAGGUCCCAGCUCUCCUCAGAGGACCUGCAGAUCAACCUUAGCUGCCUUUACUGGAAUUGCUGUGCUUGGGAUCGUCUCAAAGGAUGCAAUCAUUCUGGGUUAAACCUCAGCGUAACAGUCUGUGGCAUCUCCACAUUUCCAUCCUCUCAUCCUGCCCUGCUUUGUGGGGCUUACCAGAA